GACGAACGCUGGCGGCGUGCUCAACACAUGCAAGUCGAACGGAAAGGCCCUGCUUUUGUGGGGUGCUCGAGUGGCGAACGGGUGAGUAACACGUGAGUAACCUGCCCUUGACUUUGGGAUAUCUUCAGGAAAAUGGGGCUAAUACCGGAUAGGAGCUCCUGCUGCAUGGUGGGGGUUGGAAAGUUUCGGCGGUUGGGGAUGGACGCGCGGCUUAUCAGCUUGUUGGUGGGGUAGUGGCUUAACAAGGCUUUGACGGGUAGCCAGCCUGAGAGGGUGACCGGCCAGAUUGGGAAUGAGAUACGGCCCAGGCUCCUACGGGAGGCAGCAGUGGAGAGGAUUGCACAGUGGGCGGAAGCCUGAUGCAGCAACGCAGCGUGCGGGAAGACGGCCUUCGGGUCGUAAGACGCUUUCGCCUGUGACGAAACGUGGCUGACGGUAAUGGGUAAAGAAGCACCGGCUAACUACGU
rnacentral:rRNA from 1 species